ACUGUGGCCACUCUAGGACCUGGGCAGGCAGAGAUGCCAGAGAAAAGUGCUGCUGUGACUCUUGCUGUACUUCUAGAUCAUCACAGGGUAUGGAAAAACAACACAAAAAUAAAAGCAACCAGAGCAUAACAUUGCAGAGCUUGCUGUGGCAAAGAGAAACAGCUGAUGUCACUUGGUUUGGUAGAGAUGCACGGGCAGGUGGAAGAGUGUGAAGUUGCUGGAGUGGAGAAGGGCAGAAGCUUCGUGAUGGAAGGCUGUGGCAAGAAUGAGGGCCUGGUGUGGUUAGGGGCACACAUUCGUUUCUUUGCAAGAUGCAAGUACAACAGCAACAAUCAUGUUGUCUCUGUCUCCAUGUUCAGCUAUUUCCCUACCAUUAUCUGGUAAAUAGUACUGCCUAACAACUACUUGUAUGACAUUCUCAUUGUAUCUUGUGUUAAAAGAAAGCUAGAGUUGAUUUUCAAACACAUGACAACUGAAGUAAAAGAUUUGAGCAUCUUC
rnacentral:lncRNA from 1 species